GAUGAACGCUGGCGGCGUGCCUAAUACAUGCAAGUCGAGCGAACGGACGAGAAGCUUGCUUCUCUGAUGUUAGCGGCGGACGGGUGAGUAACACGUGGAUAACCUACCUAUAAUACUGGGAUAACUUCGGGAAACCGGAGCUAAUACCGGAUAAUAUUUUGAACCGCAUGGUUCAAAAGUGAAAGACGGUCUUGCUGUCACUUAUAGAUGGAUCCGCGCUGCAUUAGCUAGUUGGUAAGGUAACGGCUUACCAAGGCAACGAUGCAUAGCCGACCUGAGAGGGUGAUCGGCCACACUGGAGCUGAGACACGGUCCAGACUCCUACGGGAGGCAGCAGUAGGGAAUCUUCCGCAAUGGGCGAAAGCCUGACGGAGCAACGCCGCGUGAGUGAUGAAGGUCUUCGGAUCGUAAAACUCUGUUAUUAGGGAAGAACAUAUGUGUAAGUAACUGUGCACAUCUUGACGGUACCUAAUCAGAAGGCCACGGCUAACUACGUG
rnacentral:rRNA from 1 species